rnacentral:tRNA from 1 species
AUUUAUAUAGCUAAAUAAAUAGCGUUGCAUUGAAGCUGCAAAGGUGAUUUAAGUCUGUAAAUA